CUGGCCGUAAACGAUGAACACUAGAUGUUGGGGGAAUCGACCCCCUCGGUGUCGUAGCUAACGCGUUAAGUGUUCCGCCUGGGGAGUACGCACGCAAGUGUGAAACUCAAAGGAAUUGACGGGGGCCCGCACAAGCGGUGGAGUAUGUGGUUUAAUUCGAUGCAACGCGAAGAACCUUACCAAGGCUUGACAUCCUGCGAAUCUCCAAGAAAUUGGAGAGUGCCUUUUGGAACGCAGUGACAGGUGGUGCAUGGCUGUCGUCAGCUCGUGUCGUGAGAUGUUGGGUUAAGUCCCGCAACGAGCGCAACCCACGUUUUUAGUUGCCAGCAUUCAGUUGGGCACUCUAGAAAGACUGCCGGUGACAAACUGGAGGAAGGUGUGGACGACGUCAAGUCAUCAUGCCCCUUACGCCUUGGGCUACACACGUACUACAAUGCUGCGGACAAAGAGUAGCGAUCUUGCGAAAGUUAGCUAAUCUCGUAAACCGUGGCUCAGUUCAGAUCGUAGGCUGCAACUCGCCUACGUGAAGGAGGAAUCGCUAGUAAUCGCAGGUCAGCAUACUGCGGUGAAUACGUUCCCGGGCCUUGUACACACCGCCCGUCACACCAUGGAAGUUGGCCAUGCCCGAAGUCGUUACUCUAACCUUUUGGAAGAGGGCGCCUAAGGCAGGGCUAAUGACUGGGGUGAAGUCGUAACAAGGUAGCCGUAGCGGAAGCUGCGGCUGGAUCACCUCCUAA
rnacentral:rRNA from 1 species